rnacentral:lncRNA from 1 species
CCAAUCACAUUAAUUGUGAAGCCCAAUAAUGAUCCUUUUGAAGAGGUCACACCUAAACCCAAAUGACGUGAAAAAUGAGUGGAGUGCAUGCCAUGUGAAAGUGUGAGUUUGUGUGAAGUGAGAAAAAUGAUAAAAGUAAUAAGAUAAGAGUGAAGGUGUGCAAAUGUAGAUGAAAGUACUCAUGUGCGAGUGAAGAUAAAAUGCUCGUGUGCAAGUGGGGACAAAAAAGGUGUUCGUGUGCAAGUGAAGGUGAUAUAAAGGUGCAUGUGUGCAAAUGAGACAAAAGUGAAAGUGUAAUGAUAGAGUGGAUUGAGAAUGCAUGAGCCUAGGGAAUUCAUGCAUAUUGGGUACGGGGGGACCUAAAUCGUGACUUGAUUUUCCCUUUGAUUAGAAGGCGAAACUAGCGUGCUAAGGCUAUCGAGUAGCCACACUCGCUCGUUUCCCUUAUCAAGAGGGGACACUCAAGCAAAAUGAACCCUAUAGCUAGUAUGGGAUGCAAAACCUAAAGUGAGGGGAAAGGGGAAUCGAGGAGCAUGCCAGAUGAUAAAACUAAGAAAAAAUGUAUGAUAUGUAGUGAACAGGCAAAUAAUGCAUUAAUGAAAAAUAAAGGAAAAAUUCUAUUGGGUCUAGCGUUGGACUAGCCCUUUCUAUGAAUUCCUAAUGAAAUAAUGAGCCACAACUAGCGUUGGACUAGUGUGGUGACGUACAUUCAUCCAUUCCAUUCAUUCAUGGUUAUGAAAGCAAGUAGACAUGCCAAAACGCUCGUAAACACGUAGCAUGUAGCACUUAGCAUGCUCGACUAGAUGCAAGAGCCUACUAAAGCAAUUUAACAUGUAACAACAAAAGCAAGCAACCAAGGGGAAGAGGAAAUGGACCAGAUGCUCUACGAGCCCUAUCUAUUACAAGCCAAGAGGUGUACACAUACCCCAUAAAAGCAUAAAGGGGAAGGGGAAAUGGACCAGAUGCUCUACGAGCCCUAUCUAUUACAAGCCAAGAGGUGUACACAUACCCCAUAAAAACUUAAAUAAAAGUAAAGAUAAGUAAAUGCAUGCAAGGAGGUAAGGAAAGCGAAGUAGACAGGCAUAUUCACAUAACACAUAGGAGCACGUAGGGUCAAAUGAAGUGCAAAUAUAAGGGAUAGAGUGUACCUCCCUUGAAUCGACGCCCUAAUGAAGUGAACUUACUAAUUUACCCUCCAAAAUAAUAAAAAGGUCAAGGUACCACUUAAAUUAUCAAAAUCAGAUGAAAUGAAAAUAAAUAUGAAAUAAUCAUGAAAUUGAAUCAAACAAAACAUUCAAAUGGAAGUGAACGACCCUUAUUCAUCAAAUUGAACCCAACAAAGACCCAUUUGAGGGAAUCGAAGAAGUUUCAAGGACCAAUGUAUUAUUACCAAAAUUAAGGGUCUAAAAGGAAAUGACUUGAAAUUAGAACCUUAGGUGGAACCUAUCCCAAGCCGAAUGGAAAAUUUCUCAAAAAAUAAAGAAAAACUAAUUUCCCAUGAUUAAACGACAAAAAUUCCAGAAUUCACCAAGAAAAAUCAAAUCACAACCAUUAAUCUAGAACAAGUUAUUAAAUCCUUCAAAUUCAUCCUAAAACCCAUUAAGAAUCUAUACAAAAAAUCAGGCUAAGACAUAUUAAAGAAAAGAGAAAAAAAACAACAUGUUGAGGGAACAAAAUUGAUUUAGCUAUCCAAUUAAUUAGGCCAUAGUGAAACAAAAGGGAACUUGGAGGAUUGGAAUGCAAUUGUUUUAGGACCUAAUUGUAAGAACAAAACACAUAAAUGGGCCUUUGAAGCAUUACUAGAGACUAGAGGGAACAAAGUAUAAUUUUUCCUUCUUGAUCAUGCAUGCAGCUACGUAAGAAAACAAAAUUUUCUGCAACUAAAAAAACUGCCGCCUCUUCUCAAGCUUGUGGCAAUUUCCAGCAACAACUCAUUCAUUUCAUCAUACAAACAAUUUCAUCAAACCAGAAAUUAUUUGACCCAAAUCAAAACAUGAAAUUUUGUUUGCGGGACUAAGAUAGCAAAACUGGUUUUGAUCAACAACAAAAAAACAAAAAAAAAGAAAAAAAA